rnacentral:rRNA from 1 species
UGGGGAAUAUUGGACAAUGGGCGCANGCCUGAUCCAGCCAUACCGCGUGGGUGAAGAAGGCCUUCGGGUCGUAAAGCCCUUUUGUUGGGAAAGAAAUCCAGCUGGCUAAUACCCGGUUGGGAUGACGGUACCCAAAGAAUAAGCACCGGCUAACUUCGUGCCAGCAGCCGCGGUAAUACGAAGGGUGCAAGCGUUACUCGGAAUUACUGGGCGUAAAGCGUGCGUAGGUGGUUAUUUAAGUCCGUUGUGAAAGCCCUGGGCUCAACCUGGGAACUGCAGUGGAUACUGGAUGACUAGAAUGUGGUAGAGGGUAGCGGAAUUCCUGGUGUAGCAGUGAAAUGCGUAGAGAUCAGGAGGAACAUCCAUGGCGAAGGCAGCUACCUGGACCAACAUUGACACUGAGGCACGAAAGCGUGGGGAGCAAACAGGAUUAGAUACCCUGGUAGUCCACGCCCUAAACGAUGCGAACUGGAUGUUGGGUGCAAUUUGGCACGCAGUAUCGAAGCUAACGCGUUAAGUUCGCCGCCUGGGGAGUACGGUCGCAAGACUG